rnacentral:rRNA from 1 species
AGUGAACGCUGGCGGUAGGCCUAACACAUGCAAGUCGAACGGCAGCACAGGAGAGCUUGCUCUCUGGGUGGCGAGUGGCGGACGGGUGAGGAAUACAUCGGAAUCUACUCUGUCGUGGGGGAUAACGUAGGGAAACUUACGCUAAUACCGCAUACGACCUACGGGUGAAAGCAGGGGACCUUCGGGCCUUGCGCGAUUGAAUGAGCCGAUGUCGGAUUAGCUAGUUGGCGGGGGAAAGGCCCACCAAGGCGACGAUCCGUAGCUGGUCUGAGAGGAUGAUCAGCCACGCUGGAACUGAGACACGGUCCAGACUCCUACGGGAGGCAGCAGUGGGGAAUAUUGGACAAUGGGCGCAAGCCUGAUCCAGCCAUACCGCGUGGGUGAAGAAGGCCUUCGGGUUGUAAAGCCCUUUUGUUGGGAAGGAAAUCCAGCUGGCUAAUACCCGGUUGGGAUGACGGUACCCAAAGAAUAAGCACCGGCUAACUUCGUGCCAGCCGCCGCCGUAA